GAUGAACGCUGGCGGCGUGCUUAACACAUGCAAGUCGAACGGGACUUGUUAAGUUGAAACUUCGGUCGAUUCUUUUCAAGUCUAGUGGCGGACGAGUGAGUAACGCGUGGGUAACCUGCCUCACACUGGGGGAUAACAGUCAGAAAUGACUGCUAAUACCGCAUAAGCGCACAGCAUCGCAUGAUGCAGUGUGAAAACUCCGGUGGUAUGAGAUGGACCCGCGUCUGAUUAGCUAGUUGGUGAGGUAACGGCCCACCAAGGCGACGAUCAGUAGCCGACCUGAGAGGGUGACCGGCCACAUUGGGACUGAGACACGGCCCAG
rnacentral:rRNA from 1 species